rnacentral:rRNA from 1 species
GAUGAACGCUGGCGGCGUGCUUAAUACAUGCAAGUCGAGCGAACGGACGAGAAGCUUGCUUCUCUGAUGUUAGCGGCGGACGGGUGAGUAACACGUGUAUAACCUACCUAUAAGACUGGGAUAACUUCGGGAAACCGGAGCUAAUACCGGAUAAUAUUUUGAACCGCAUGGUUCAAAAGUGAAAGACGGUCUUGCUGUCACUUAUAGAUGGAUCCGCGCUGCAUUAGCUAGUUGGUAAGGUAACGGCUUACCAAGGCAACGAUGCAUAGCCGACCUGAGAGGGUGAUCGGCCGCACUGGAACUGGGACACGGUCCAGACUCCUACGGGAGGCAGCAGUAGGGAAUCUUCCGCAAUGGGCGGAAGCCUGACGGAGCAACGCCGCGUGAGUGAUGAAGGUCUUCGGAUCGUAAAACUCUGUUAUUAGGGAAGAACAUAUGUGUAAGUAACUGUGCACAUCUUGACGGUACCUAAUCAGAAAGCCACGGCUAACUACGUG